rnacentral:rRNA from 1 species
ACUAUCGUUAACUGAAUACAUAGGUUAACGAGGCGAACCGGGGGAACUGAAACAUCUAAGUACCCCGAGGAAAAGAAAUCAACCGAGAUUCCCCCAGUAGCGGCGAGCGAACGGGGAGCAGCCCAGAGUCUGAAUCAGCUUGUGUGUUAGUGGAACGGUCUGGAAAGUCCGACGGUACAGGGUGAUAGUCCCGUACACCAAAAUGCACAGGCUGUGAACUCGAAGAGUAGGGCGGGACACGUGGUAUCCUGUCUGAAUAUGGGGGGACCAUCCUCCAAGGCUAAAUACUCCUGACUGACCGAUAGUGAACCAGUACCGUGAGGGAAAGGCGAAAAGAACCCCGGCGAGGGGAGUGAAAAAGAACCUGAAACCGUGUACGUACAAGCAGUGGGAGCACCUUCGGGUGUGACUGCGUACCUUUUGUAUAAUGGGUCAGCGACUUAUAUUCUGUAGCAAGGUUAACCGUAUAGGGGAGCCGCAGGGAAACCGAGUCUUAACUGGGCGUUAAGUUGCAGGGUAUAGACCCGAAACCCGGUGAUCUAGCCAUGGGCAGGUUGAAGGUUGGGUAACACUAACUGGAGGACCGAACCGACUAAUGUUGAAAAAUUAGCGGAUGACUUGUGGCUGGGGGUGAAAGGCCAAUCAAACCGGGAGAUAGCUGGUUCUCCCCGAAAGCUAUUUAGGUAGCGCCUCGUGAACUCAUCUUCGGGGGUAGAGCACUGUUUCGGCUAGGGGGUCAUCCCGACUUACCAACCCGAUGCAAACUACGAAUACCGAAGAAUGUUAUCACGGGAGACACACGGCGGGUGCUAACGUCCGUCGUGAAGAGGGAAACAACCCAGACCGCCAGCUAAGGUCCCAAAGUCAUGGUUAAGUGGGAAACGAUGUGGGAAGGCACAGACAGCCAGGAUGUUGGCUUAGAAGCAGCCAUCAUUUAAAGAAAGCGUAAUAGCUCACUGGUCGAGUCGGCCUGCGCGGAAGAUGUAACGGGGCUAAACCAUGCACCGAAGCUGCGGCAGCGACACUAUGUGUUGUUGGGUAGGGGAGCGUUCUGUAAGCCUGCGAAGGUGACCUGUGAGGGUUGCUGGAGGUAUCAGAAGUGCGAAUGCUGACAUAAGUAACGAUAAAGCGGGUGAAAAGCCCGCUCGCCGGAAGACCAAGGGUUCCUGUCCAACGUUAAUCGGGGCAGGGUGAGUCGACCCCUAAGGCGAGGCCGAAAGGCGUAGUCGAUGGGAAACAGGUUAAUAUUCCUGUACUUGGUGUUACUGCGAAGGGGGGACGGAGAAGGCUAUGUUAGCCGGGCGACGGUUGUCCCGGUUUAAGCAUGUAGGCUGAUUGUCCAGGCAAAUCCGGAUAAUCAAGGCUGAGGUGUGAUGACGAGGCACUACGGUGCUGAAGUAACAAAUGCCCUGCUUCCAGGAAAAGCCUCUAAGCAUCAGGUAACAUUAAAUCGUACCCCAAACCGACACAGGUGGUCAGGUAGAGAAUACCAAGGCGCUUGAGAGAACUCGGGUGAAGGAACUAGGCAAAAUGGUGCCGUAACUUCGGGAGAAGGCACGCUGGUGUGUAGGUGAAGUCCCUGCGGAUGGAGCUGAGACCAGUCGAAGAUACCAGCUGGCUGCAACUGUUUAUUAAAAACACAGCACUGUGCAAACACGAAAGUGGACGUAUACGGUGUGACGCCUGCCCGGUGCCGGAAGGUUAAUUGAUGGGGUUAUCCGUAAGGAGAAGCUCUUGAUCGAAGCCCCGGUAAACGGCGGCCGUAACUAUAACGGUCCUAAGGUAGCGAAAUUCCUUGUCGGGUAAGUUCCGACCUGCACGAAUGGCGUAAUGAUGGCCAGGCUGUCUCCACCCGAGACUCAGUGAAAUUGAACUCGCUGUGAAGAUGCAGUGUACCCGCGGCAAGACGGAAAGACCCCGUGAACCUUUACUAUAGCUUGACACUGAACAUUGAGCCUUGAUGUGUAGGAUAGGUGGGAGGCUUUGAAGCGUGGACGCCAGUCUGCGUGGAGCCAACCUUGAAAUACCACCCUUUAAUGUUUGAUGUUCUAACGUUGGCCCCUGACCGGGGUUGCGGACAGUGUCUGGUGGGUAGUUUGACUGGGGCGGUCUCCUCCCAAAGCGUAACGGAGGAGCACGAAGGUUAGCUAAUCCUGGUCGGACAUCAGGAGGUUAGUGCAAUGGCAUAAGCUAGCUUGACUGCGAGCGUGACGGCGCGAGCAGGUGCGAAAGCAGGUCAUAGUGAUCCGGUGGUUCUGAAUGGAAGGGCCAUCGCUCAACGGAUAAAAGGUACUCCGGGGAUAACAGGCUGAUACCGCCCAAGAGUUCAUAUCGACGGCGGUGUUUGGCACCUCGAUGUCGGCUCAUCACAUCCUGGGGCUGAAGUAGGUCCCAAGGGUAUGGCUGUUCGCCAUUUAAAGUGGUACGCGAGCUGGGUUUAGAACGUCGUGAGACAGUUCGGUCCCUAUCUGCCGUGGGCGCUGGAGAAUUGAGGGGGGCUGCUCCUAGUACGAGAGGACCGGAGUGGACGCAUCACUGGUGUUCGGGUUGUCAUGCCAAUGGCACUGCCCGGUAGCUAAAUGCGGAAGAGAUAAGUGCUGAAAGCAUCUAAGCACGAAACUUGCCCCGAGAUGAGUUCU